AGCUCCGGUGGCCUAGUGGUUAGAGCGUCUGCACCGGAGGAAGAAGGUUGUGGGUUCAAACCCCGGCCGAGUCA